CACAAGGUUACACGACAUUUUCCCGAAAACUAGAUGAGAAAAUGUUGGUACUAACCAAAUUCUCUAGGCAAUACCGUUUCAAUUUCUGCAGGUUAGUAACACUGUUAAAGUAGUAAAUCCAAGGUUUGCAGAGUCGGUUUUGACGUAUGCGCGCGUAUAUGUCAAACAAUAAAUAUUAUAUAAAUGAUUUAUGACAUUUGAUUUAAUGAAUGAAUAAAAAUUACACAAAUAACUAAAAAUAUAGUGCAUAGAGAUGAACAAGUUUCUUUAAUGUGCCUUUAUAAACACCAAUGCAUGAUUGAAUUUUCGUUCUUCGCCUUGGAAUCAUUCAGAUUUCAAGGAAAUAAAAUUAAUAGAAGAAUAAAGAAAAAAGCUGGAAAAAAAUAAAGGAGAAUAGACAAAUAUAUCAGAUAAGUAGCUAAUAUCUUUAUAGAAUAAAAAAUUGUGUAUCCUAUGUGCUUUUGUAAUCAUAGAGGAACUAGCUAAUUCAUUUCUUGAAUUAAUUUUUUGUUUCAGCUUCCCAGUCAAUCAUUUGCUUGUAGAAUGUUGACAGCCGGAGAACAAUCCCCUGCAGAGUGAAACUACCAAAUUCUAAGCCUACUACGCUCUCGAGUGUACCAAAAUUCAAGCAGAACGUGUUAUCCAUAUUGGUCUUUGCAAGAAUGGGGAUUUGGAGUAGCAAUGGAAUGCUUGUCAAGGAUUAUUUUGCUGUUUCGUUUUGUUCGUGCCCAAAAUUGUGGAUGCCUCAUGAAGCUCCGAAUACGUUUCUGGUGCUCAGAAAGGUUUAACCGAAGUUCUCGGUUGUGUCUCUCAGAUAUAUUGUUAGUUCUGUGUACUUCUUGAAAUACGCAGAAGGAAUCGGGCUUAAAAUUAUUCAGCCACGUUUCUUGAUAAUAAUGGAAAAAGGAUUCCAAAAACGUGCAAUUAUGGAAUAUAAUUGUAGAUAUUAAUUUAAAUCCUUCUUCUAUCAACGUAUGGGGUAAAUAAGCCAAAGAUAUCAACAGUUUUGUAGCACCCCACCCCACAUCAUCUUUUAGUAUGCCAUAUUUUUCAGCAUUACGCACUAACGCCUGUAAUAAGAAAUAAACAUGAUUAAAAUUGACAUACAUUUUA
rnacentral:lncRNA from 1 species